GAUUAACGCUAGCGGCAGGCAUAAUACAUGCAAGUUGAACGGCAGCACAGGUAGCAAUACUGGGUGGCGAGUGGCGCACGGGUGCGUAACACGUAUGCAACCUACCCUAUACAGGCGAAUAACCUUUAGAAAUGAGGGCUAAUACGCCGUAGUAUUACAGAUGGGCAUCUAUUUGUAAUUAAAGAUUUAUCGGUAUAGGAUGGGCAUGCGUCCCAUUAGUUAGUUGGUAAGGUAACGGCUUACCAAGACGAUGAUGGGUAGGGGAUCUGAGAGGACUUACCCCCACACUGGUACUGAGACACGGACCAGACUCCUACGGGAGGCAGCAGUAAGGAAUAUUGGGCAAUGGCCGCGAGGCUGACCCAGCCAUGCCGCGUGCAGGAAGACGGCCUUAUGGGUUGUAAACUGCUUUUAUACGGGAAUAAUAGAGUGUACGCGUACAUUUAUGCAAGUACCGUAUGAAUAAGCAUCGGCUAACUCCGUG
rnacentral:rRNA from 1 species